GUUUCCACUUCAGGUGAGACGGAAGGGUGAACUCUACCUCACCUCCUG
rnacentral:lncRNA from 1 species